CUUAAAAUUAGCAAUUCAGAAUUUUGAAAGUGGGCCUUUUUAAAUUAAAAAAUAAAUAGAAAACAAUAAAAUGAAAUGAUAACAAUGACAAUGAGGAAAAGGGGGAGAGUUUCAGCUUUGAUUUUAUCAAUUUCUUUCAGAUUUAAAAACAAUUAGAAGAAUGGAGACGUUGCAGUCGUUGAACUCAUAUCCUCCAUUUUCUU
rnacentral:lncRNA from 1 species